rnacentral:rRNA from 1 species
UGGGGAAUAUUGGACAAUGGGCGAAAGCCUGAUCCAGCCAUGCCGCGUGUGUGAAGAAGGUCUUCGGAUUGUAAAGCACUUUAAGUUGGGAGGAAGGGCAGUAAGCGAAUACCUUGCUGUUUUGACGUUACCGACAGAAUAAGCACCGGCUAACUCUGUGCCAGCAGCCGCGGUAAUACAGAGGGUGCAAGCGUUAAUCGGAAUUACUGGGCGUAAAGCGCGCGUAGGUGGUUCGUUAAGUUGAAUGUGAAAGCCCCGGGCUCAACCUGGGAACUGCAUCCAAAACUGGCGGGCUAGAGUAGGGCAGAGGGUGGUGGAAUUUCCUGUGUAGCGGUGAAAUGCGUAGAUAUAGGAAGGAACACCAGUGGCGAAGGCGACCACCUGGGCUCAUACUGACACUGAGGUGCGAAAGCGGGGGGAGCAAACAGG